rnacentral:rRNA from 1 species
GCUUGGGCUUCUUUGCUGACGAGUGGCGGACGGGUGAGUAAUGUCUGGGAAACUGCCUGAUGGAGGGGGAUAACUACUGGAAACGGUAGCUAAUACCGCAUAACGUCGCAAGACCAAAGAGGGGGACCUUCGGGCCUCUUGCCAUCGGAUGUGCCCAGAUGGGAUUAGCUAGUAGGUGGGGUAACGGCUCACCUAGGCGACGAUCCCUAGCUGGUCUGAGAGGAUGACCAGCCACACUGGAACUGAGACACGGUCCAGACUCCUACGGGAGGCAGCAGUGGGGAAUAUUGCACAAUGGGCGCAAGCCUGAUGCAGCCAUGCCGCGUGUAUGAAGAAGGCCUUCGGGUUGUAAAGUACUUUCAGCGGGGAGGAAGGGAGUAAAGUUAAUACCUUUGCUCAUUGACGUUACCCGCAGAAGAAGCACCGGCUA